rnacentral:misc_RNA from 1 species
AGCCAAUGAAAAAUGAUUAGGGAAGACUCAAACUUUGCAUAUACAUGCAAUUAUUUCAGGUACAAUGCAUUUUUCUUACCAAGAUUUGAUUCUACACAUAAUUUGGCAUUGCUAAAAUGCAACAAGCCAUUUGGAAGAACCAUUACAAAUUAUCAGCUAGCUGCACUUCUAAACAGUCAUAAUAGGACACAGCUAGAAGUUGUUUGCAAGGUUGAGAACUGAAUUCUUAAACAGCAACUAAUUUGUAAUU